UCUCUCUCUUCAUCUCUUGUUCUUUGUGUGUGUCUCCCUAAAGUGGGGUCACUUGUAUUUAUUUAAAAGAAAGCUCACUGAGAAUCCAGCCUUUAAGAAGCAGCCCAAGUGGAAAUGUGCUUGAGCUCAGAUGAUGAAACUGAGGCAAACAGAGAAGAAGUGAUUUGCUCCAGGAUCACAGAGUUAAUAAAUGUCUGACUUUGGAUUUGAACUCAAAGAAUGGGGCUCUAGCCACUGAGACACCUUGGAUCCAUGAGGUAAGGAAGCUAUGUCAGGACAUCUGAAGCAAAUUGAGUUUCAUGAAAAGAAGAGACCUCACUAGGGAAGGUGCUAAGGAUACUGGGACUUAAAGAAGCUAUCUGUGGAGACAGUGAAUGUGGGGAGAAAGCCAUAUCUAGUUAAGGAAUGCUGCAGAAGGAAACUGCUGUCCUGUCUCACCUAGGAAAGAUUUCCCUGUUUUCUAAAGACUUCUGGAAAAAUUAGAAAGGAUUUUGGGAGAAAUUAGGCUUAGACCAAUAUUGUACAACAUUAUUUCACAAUAUCUAUAUGAGAAGAAAGUCUGUCUAGCUAUCAUAGCUCUGAGAAGAUAUAUUCUUAACCAAAUAAGAAAGAGGUAAUUAUAAAUGAUAAAAUAUGUAAUUUUGGUUCCAAGAAACUAAAAAUGUAUGCAAAUAAAAUUAAUGUUAUUGAGGAGAGAAAUGGUCAAA